AUUGAACGCUGGCGGCAUGCCUUACACAUGCAAGUCGAACGGCAGCGGGCCUUCGGGUGCCGGCGAGUGGCGAACGGGUGAGUAAUGCAUCGGAACGUGCCAUUGAGUGGGGGAUAACGUAGCGAAAGUUACGCUAAUACCGCAUAUUCUGUGAGCAGGAAAGCAGGGGACCGCAAGGCCUUGCGCUCUUUGAGCGGCCGAUGUCAGAUUAGCUAGUUGGUGAGGUAAAGGCUUACCAAGGCGACGAUCUGUAGCGGGUCUGAGAGGAUGAUCCGCCACACUGGAACUGAGACACGGUCCAGACUCCUACGGGAGGCAGCAGUGGGGAAUUUUGGACAAUGGGCGCAAGCCUGAUCCAGCCAUGCCGCGUGAGUGAAGAAGGCCUCGGUUGUAAGACUCUUUCGGUCCGGGAACGGAAAGUACGC
rnacentral:rRNA from 1 species